AACGAACGCUGGCGGCAUGCCUAACACAUGCAAGUCGAACGAGACCUUCGGGUCUAGUGGCGCACGGGUGCGUAACACGUGGGAAUUUGCCUCGGGGUAUGGAAUAACUCAGGGAAACUUGAGCUAAUACCAUAUAAUGUCUUCGGACCAAAGAUUUAUCGCCCUGAGAUAAGCCCGCGUAGGAUUAGCUAGUUGGUGGGGUAAAGGCUCACCAAGGCGACGAUCCUUAGCUGGUCUGAGAGGAUGAUCAGCCACACUGGGACUGAGACACGGCCCAGACUCCUACGGGAGGCAGCAGUGGGAAUAUUGGACAAUGGGCGAAAGCCUGAUCCAGCAAUGCCGCGUGAGUGAUGAAGGCC
rnacentral:rRNA from 1 species